rnacentral:rRNA from 1 species
GAUGAACGCUAGCUACAGGCUUAACACAUGCAAGUCGAGGGGUAACGAGAGGAAAGCUUGCUUUCCUUGUCGACGACCGGCGCACGGGUGAGUAACGCGUAUCCAACCUGCCCCCAACUAGGGAAUAACCUUGCGAAAGUAAGACUAAUACCCUAUAAUUUCCUCAGAUGCCAUCUGACGAGGAAUAAAGAUUUAUCGGUUGUGGAUGGGGAUGCGUCUGAUUAGCUUGUUGGCGGGGUAACGGCCCACCAAGGCAACGAUCAGUAGGGGUUCUGAGAGGAAGGUCCCACACAUUGGAACUGAGACACGGUCCAAACGCCUACGGGAGGCAGCAGUGAGGAAUAUUGGUCAAUGGGCGGAAGCCUGAACCAGCCAAGUAGCGUGCAGGAUGACGGCCCUAUGGGUUGUAAACUGCUUUUAUACAGGAAUAAAGUUAGCCACGUGUGGUUAUUUGUAGGUACUGUAUGAAUAAGGACCGGCUAAUUCCGUGCCAGCAGCCGCCGUAA